rfam:Pteropus alecto contig168820, whole genome shotgun sequence.
GUGCUCACUUUGGCAGCAUAUAUACUAAAAUUGGAACAAUAGAGAGAAGAUUAGCAUGGCCCAAGUGAAAGAAUGCCAGGCAAAUCUAUGUAACAUCUAUACUUUUG